rnacentral:rRNA from 1 species
UACGUAGGAUGCAAGCGUUGUCCGGAAUUAUUGGGCGUAAAGAGCGCGCAGGCGGUCAUUCAAGUCAGGUGUGAAAUAUCCGGGCUUAACCUGGAGGGGUCAUUUGAAACUGGGUGACUAGAGUACAGCAGAGGAUAGCGGAAUUCUUGGUGUAGCGGUGAAAUGCGUAGAUAUCAAGAGGAACACCUGAGGCGAAGACGGGUUGCUGGGCCGACACUGACGCUGAGUGCGCGAAAGCCAGGGGAGCAAACGGG